GAGGGUAUAGCUCAGUGGUAGAGUGUGUGCUUAGCAUGCACACGGUGCUGGGUUUAAUUCUCAGUACUUCCA
rnacentral:tRNA from 1 species